UUUCUCUGUUUUUCUAGGAGUGGUCUCGAGGUCUGGUCUUUUUCGUUUUGUUCUGCGGCGUAACACACCUGUGAUACUCUUGGGUUUCCCCAUAUCACCUCGACUCCGUUACGGGUUGGAAACUUGAGGCAAAGAUGAUAAGUUGAUGGGAUGGCACACAUGGUGUUCAACCAUGGCGUUCCCAUGAUAAUGUUGUAAGAUGCGGGACGGUCAAC
rnacentral:lncRNA from 1 species